AAGGGUGACGAAGCGACGCCGCGUGUGGGAAGAAGGCCUUCGGGUUGUAAACCACUGUCGGGAGUUAGGAAAUGCAGGUGCGUUAAUAGCGCACUUGCUUGACUAAGGCUCCAGAGGAAGCCACGGCUAACUCUGUGCCAGCAGCCGCGGUAAUACAGAGGCGGCAAGCGUUGUUCGGAAUUAUUGGGCGUAAAGAGCACGUAGGCGGCCUUGCAAGUCAGUUGUGAAAGCCUUCCGCUUAACGGAAGAACGGCAUCUGAUACUACAGGGCUUGAGUACGGGAGGGGAGAGUGGAACUUCUGGUGGAGCGGUGAAAUGCGUAGAUAUCAGAAGGAACGCCGGCGGCGAAAGCGACUCUCUGGUCCGAAACUGACGCUGAGUGUGCGAAAGCUAGGGGAGCAAACGGGAUUAGAUACCCCGGUAGUCCUAGCCGUAAACGAUGGGCACUAAGUAGAGGGGUU
rnacentral:rRNA from 1 species